rnacentral:rRNA from 1 species
AUUGAACGCUGGCGGCAUGCUUUACACAUGCAAGUCGAACGGUAACAGGCCGCAAGGUGCUGACGAGUGGCGAACGGGUGAGUAAUGCAUCGGAACGUGCCCAGUCGUGGGGGAUAACGCAGCGAAAGCUGUGCUAAUACCGCAUACGAUCUAUGGAUGAAAGCGGGGGACCGUAAGGCCUCGCGCGAUUGGAGCGGCCGAUGUCAGAUUAGCUAGUUGGUGGGGUAAAGGCCCACCAAGGCGACGAUCUGUAGCUGGUCUGAGAGGACGACCAGCCACACUGGGACUGAGACACGGCCAAGACUCCUACGGGAGGCAGCAGUGGGGAAUUUUGGACAAUGGGCGCAAGCCUGAUCCAGCAAUGCCGCGUGCAGGAAGAAGGCUUUCGGGUUGUAAACUGCUUUUGUACGGAACGAAACGGUCUGGGUUAAUACCCUGGGCUAAUGACGGUACCGUAAGAAUAAGCACCGGCUAACUACGUGCCAGCCGCCGCCGUAAUAC